rnacentral:rRNA from 1 species
UGAGGAAUAUUGGUCAAUGGCCGAGAGGCUGAACCAGCCAAGUAGCGUGCAGGACGACGGCCCUACGGGUUGUAAACUGCUUUUGCGGGAGGAUAAAGUGCACUACGUGUAGUGCUUUGCAGGUAUCCCGUGAAUAAGGACCGGCUAAUUCCGUGCCAGCAGCCGCGGUAAUACGGAAGGUCCGGGUGUUAUCCGGAUUUAUUGGGUUUAAAGGGAGCGCAGGCGGAGAUGCAAGCGUGCCGUGAAAGCGCGGGGCUCAACCUUGAGGGUGCCGUUGAAACUGAUUUACUAGAAUGUGGAUGAUGCCGGCGGAAUGUGUCAAGUAGCGGUGAAAUGCAUAGAUAUGACACAGAAGGCCGAUUGCGAAGGCAGCUGGCAAAGGCACGAUUGACGCUGAGGCACGAA